rnacentral:misc_RNA from 1 species
GGAAGUAAAAGGUAACAAGGUUUCCGUAGGUGAACCUGCGGAAGGAUCAUUAUUGUAUAACCGAGGUGCGAGGGCUGUCGCUGACCGAAAGGUCGUGCACGCCCGAGUGCCCUCACACACAUCCAUCUCACCCCUAUGUGCACCACCGCGUGGGUCCCCCUUUGGCUUGUUCGGAGGGGGGCUUACGUUUUCACACAAACUUUGUAUGCAGUGUAGAAUGUAUUUUUUGUUUUUGCGAUCACGCAAUCAAUACAACUUUCAACAACGGAUCUCUUGGCUCUC